UACGGGGGGGGCAAACGUUGCUCGGAAUUAUUGGGCGUAAAGCGCACGUAGGCGGCAUUGCAAGUCGGAUGUGAAAUCCCUCGGCUUAACCAAGGAAGUGCAUCCGAAACUGCAGUGCUUGAGUACUUAAGAGGAUCGCGGAAUUCCCGGUGUAGAGGUGAAAUUCGUAGAUAUCGGGAGGAACACCAGUGGCGAAGGCGGCGAUCUGGGAAGAUACUGACGCUGAGGUGCGAAAGCGUGGGGAGCAAACAGG
rnacentral:rRNA from 1 species